AAUUUCCCAAACUUUCAAAAAUCCUAAAAAUAGAAGAUUCAAUAACAGAGAAUUAAGACAACAAAUCCCUAAAAAGCUGCGGUGAAAGAAGAACUACGUAGUGGAGAGAGGCGGCGCCGCCGCCGGGAUGAGGCCAAAAUUGGACAGAGUUUGUGUUUCAGAGAAAUGUUUCCACCGUAAAAAACCUUUGACAGAGAAAGAAAUGUUUCCAGCUUGUAACAUGUUCUUUUUUUUGAGGAAUACUCUGUAACAUGUUUUAACAUUUUAAAAUUACAAUAAUUUCCAUGGUGUCAUUUUGAAAUUUUUAUAAACUAAAAGAGUAAUUUAGAAAAUUUAUAUCU
rnacentral:lncRNA from 1 species